GACAGCAGUCGCCACGGUAAAACAGAGGAUGCAAGCGUUAUCCGGAAUGAUUGGGCGUAAAGCGUCUGUAGGUGGCUUUUCAAGUCCGCCGUCAAAUCCCCGGGCUCAACCCUGGAACUGCCUUUGAUACUGUUUGUCUUGAGUUCGAGAGAGGUAAGUGGAACUGCGAGUGUAGAGGUGAAAUUCGUAGAUAUUCGCAAGAACACCAGUGGCGAAGGCGGCUUACUGGCUCGAAACUGACGCUGAGGCGCGAAAGCGUGGGGAGCAAACAGGAUUAGAUACCCGCGUAGUCCCUGUCUCUUAUAC
rnacentral:rRNA from 1 species